AGAGUUUGAUCCUGGCUCAGAGCGAACGCUAGCGGCGUGCUUAACACAUGCAAGUCGAGUGCGCAGCUUUCUGUAGCAAUACAGGAAGCCGGCGCACGGCGCACGGGUGCGUAACACGUGGGCAAUCUGCCCUCGGAUGGGGGAUACCCCCGCGAAAGCGGGACUAAUACCGCAUGACAUUCCGAAGACCUCGGUCUUUGGACUCAAAGCCCGCAAGGGCGUCUGAGGAGGAGCCCGCGCCCGAUUAGCUAGUUGGUGAGGUAACGGCUCACCAAGGCUUUGAUCGGUAGCCGGUCUGAGAGGAUGGCCGGCCACACUGGAACUGAGACACGGUCCAGACUCCUACGGGAGGCAGCAGUGGGGAAUAUUGCGCAAUGGGCGAAAGCCUGACGCAGCGACGCCGCGUGGGGGAUGAAGCUUCUCGGAGUGUAAACCCCUUUCGACCCGGACGAAUGACCCGCAAGGGUUUGACGGUACGGGUAUAAGAAGCCCCGGCUAACUACGUGCCAGCAGCCGCGGUAAUACGUAGGGGGCCAGCGUUGCUCGGAAUUACUGGGCGUAAAGGGUUCGUAGGCGGUGCGGCAAGUUGGGAGUGAAAUCUCUGGGCUUAACCCAGAGGCUGCUUUCAAAACUGCCGUGCUCGAGUGCGAGAGAGGUCAGUGGAAUUGCACGUGUAGCGGUGAAAUGCGUAGAUAUCUGCAGGAACACCCGUGGCGAAGCGGCUGACUGGAUCGCAACUGACGCUGAGGACGAAAGCUAGGGAGCAAACAGAUUAGAUACCCUGGUAGUCCUAGCCCUAAACCAUCAGGACUUGGGGUGGCCCGCGUAGGCGGGUCGUC
rnacentral:rRNA from 1 species